rnacentral:lncRNA from 1 species
AAGUCUUGCCACAUGUAAAUCCAGUAUAUUUCUUCUUUUUCUUUUUUUUUUCUAGUUUUUACAGUACGAGGUGUUUACGACGAUUUUGGUUACGUGGUAUUUACGACGAAUUUGUCCUACGUGGUAUUUACGACGAAUCUCUCCUACGUGGAAUAAACGAGGAAUUUGUCCUACGUGGUAUUUACGACGAAUUUGUCCUACGUGGUAUUUACGACGAAUCACUCCUACGUGGAAUAAACGAGGAAUUCGUCGUAAGUUCGACGUCAACAUACGAGGAAUUAACGAGUAUUCCAUUUAAAUCCCUAAAAUCCGAAACCCCAAACCCCAAACCCCAUAUUCCUUAUCUUCUACUUCAUAUACUCCAAACCCUAUCUUUAUUUUCAUUCCAAACCACAAUUCCCUAUCUUCUAAUUCAUAUAUUCCAAACCACAAUUCUCACUUUUACUUAUUCAUAAAACAAACUCCCACAUUUUCUUAUUCACAAAACAAACUCCCACAUUACCUUAUUCAUAAAACAAACUCUCACAUUACCUUAUUCAUAAAACAAACUACACAAAAUCGAGUAUAUUUCUUCUUUUUCUUUUUUUUUUCUAGUUUUUACAGUACGAGGUGCUUACGACGAUUUUGGUUACGUGGUUUUUACGACGAUUCCGUCCUACGUGGAAUUAAAGUGGGCCGCGUUCAUCAUUUAUUUUACGUGGUAUUUACGACGAAUCUCUCCUACGUGGUAUUUACGACGAAUUUGUCCUACGUGGUAUUUACGACGAAUCUCUCCUACGUGGAAUAAACGAGGAAUUCGUCGUAAGUUCGACGUCAACAUACGAGGAAUUAACGAGUAUUCCGUUUAAAUCCCUAAAAUCCGAAACCCCAAACCCCAAACCCCAUAUUCCUUAUCUUCUACUUCAUAUAUUCCAAACCCUAUCUUUAUUUUCAUUCCAAACCACAAUUCCCUAUCUUCUAAUUCAUAUAUUCCAAACCAUAAUUCUCACUUUUACUUAUUCAUAAAACAAACUCCCACAUUUUCUUAUUCACAAAACAAACUCCCACAUUACCUUAUUCAUAAAACAAACUCUCACAUUACCUUAUUCAUAAAACAAACUACACAAAAUCGAGUAUAUUUCUUCUUUUUCUUUUUUUUUCUAGUUUUUACAGUACGAGGUGUUUACGACGAUUUUGGUUACGUGGUUUUUACGACGAUUCCGUCCUACGUGGAAUUAAAGUGGGCCGCGUUCAUCAUUUAUUUUACGUGGUAUUUACGACGAAUCUCUCCUACGUGGUAUUUACGACGAAUUUGUCCUUCGUGGUAUUUACGACGAAUCUCUCCUACGUGGAAUAAACGAGGAAUUCGUCGUAAGUUCGACGUCAACAUACGAGGAAUUAACGAGUAUUCCGUUUAAAUCCCUAAAAUCCGAAACCCCAAACCCCAAACCCCAUAUUCCUUAUCUUCUACUUCAUAUAUUCCAAACCCUAUCUUUAUUUUCAUUCCAAAC